CGCAGUAGGAUAGGCGAAGCGUGCGAUUGGAUUGCACGUCUAAGCAGUAAGGCUGAGUAUUAGGCAAAUCCGGUACUCGUUAAGGCUGAGCUGUGAUGGGGAGAAGACAUUGUGUCUUCGAGUCGUUGAUUUCACACUGCCGAGAAAAGCCUCUAGAUAGAAAAUAGGUGCCCGUACCGCAAACCGACACAGGUAGUCAAGAUGAGAAUUCUAAGGUGAGCGAGCGAACUCUCGUUAAGGAACUCGGCAAAAUGACCCCGUAACUUCGGGAGAAGGGGUGCUCUUUAGGGUUAACGCCCAGAAGAGCCGCAGUGAAUAGGCCCAAGCGACUGUUUAUCAAAAACACAGGUCUCUGCUAAACCGUAAGGUGAUGUAUAGGGGCUGACGCCUGCCCGGUGCUGGAAGGUUAAGAGGAGUGGUUAGCUUCUGCGAAGCUACGAAUCGAAGCCCCAGUAAACGGCGGCCGUAACUAUAACGGUCCUAAGGUAGCGAAAUUCCUUGUCGGGUAAGUUCCGACCCGCACGAAAGGCGUAACGAUUUGGGCACUGUCUCAACGAGAGACUCGGUGAAAUCAUAGUACCUGUGAAGAUGCAGGUUACCCGCGACAGGACGGAAAGACCCCGUGGAGCUUUACUGUAGCCUGAUAUUGAAAUUCGGCACAGCUUGUACAGGAUAGGUAGGAGCCUUUGAAACGUGAGCGCUAGCUUACGUGGAGGCGCUGGUGGGAUACUACCCUAGCUGUGUUGGCUUUCUAACCCGCACCACUUAUCGUGGUGGGAGACAGUGUCAGGCGGGCAGUUUGACUGGGGCGGUCGCCUCCUAAAAGGUAACGGAGGCGCUCAAAGGUUCCCUCAGAAUGGUUGGAAAUCAUUCAUAGAGUGUAAAGGCAUAAGGGAGCUUGACUGCGAGACCUACAAGUCGAGCAGGGUCGAAAGACGGACUUAGUGAUCCGGUGGUUCCGCAUGGAAGGGCCAUCGCUCAACGGAUAAAAGCUACCCCGGGGAUAACAGGCUUAUCUCCCCCAAGAGUUCACAUCGACGGGGAGGUUUGGCACCUCGAUGUCGGCUCAUCGCAUCCUGGGGCUGUAGUCGGUCCCAAGGGUUGGGCUGUUCGCCCAUUAAAGCGGUACGCGAGCUGGGUUCAGAACGUCGUGAGACAGUUCGGUCCCUAUCCGUCGUGGGCGUAGGAAAUUUGAGAGGAGCUGUCCUUAGUACGAGAGGACCGGGAUGGACAUACCUCUGGUGUACCAGUUGUCGUGCCAACGGCAUAGCUGGGUAGCUAUGUGUGGACGGGAUAAGUGCUGAAAGCAUCUAAGCAUGAAGCC
rnacentral:rRNA from 1 species